GUUUGAUCAUGGACGUCAGGAUGAACGCUAGCGGCAGGCUUAACACGAUGCAAGUCGAGGGGCAGCGCGGGGUAGCAAUACGUCUGGCGGCGACCGGCGAAAGGGUGAGUAACGCGUGAGCAACGUGCCCGUGGUUGGGGGAUAGUCAUUAGAAAUGAUGCGUAAUACCCCGUAACACGAUUUUCUCGCAUGGGAGGAUGUUGAAGAUUCAUUGACCACGGAUCGGCUCGCGUGCCAUUAGGUAGACGGCGGGGUAACGGCCCACCGUGCCGACGAUGGCUAGGGGUUCUGAGAGGAAGGUCCCCCACAUUGGAACUGAGACACGGUCCAGACUCCUACGGGAGGCAGCAGUGAGGAAUAUUGGACAAUGGCCGGAAGGCUGAUCCAGCCAUGCCGCGUGCGGGGAACGGACGGCCCUAUGGGUUGUAAACCGCUUUUGCGGGGGAGCAAUAGACACCACGUGUGGUGAGAUGAGAGUACCCUGCGAAUAAGCAUCGGCUAACUCCGUGCCAGCCGCGGC
rnacentral:rRNA from 1 species